GAUCAGAGAUACCAAGGAGGAACGUUUCAGAGAGGAAAUACCAGACGAGAUGGUUCUUAACGGAAGAAAAAAAACAGUGUAAUGCCUGAUCCUGGCAGUGCUGCUGUCAUGCCCACUGAGCGACUCCUCACCUUCACUCUGGACUUUUCUCAGGGUGACAGAGGGGGUCGAGAUGGCGGAGGCACGGAAGUUGGCAGCUCCUUCCUGUCAUAGUUCAAGCGCUUCAAGCACAUGAUGCCAUAGUGAAGACUCACCCUACCUGUGGAAACUGUCCACCAUUUUCAGCUGACCCCUCAGCUCUUUCUUAGUGAGGUGAUCAAGCAUGCGGGCGUCCACCAGUGACUCCAUG